rnacentral:rRNA from 1 species
CGGGUGAGUAACACGUGGGUAACCUGCCCAUCAGAAGGGGAUAACACUUGGAAACAGGUGCUAAUACCGUAUAAUGUCUACGGACCAAAGCAGGGGCUCUUCGGACCUUGCACUAUCGGAUGAACCCAUAUGGGAUUAGCUAGUAGGUGGGGUAAAGGCUCACCUAGGCGACGAUCUCUAGCUGGUCUGAGAGGAUGAUCAGCCACACUGGGACUGAGACACGGCCCAG